AUUGAACGCUGGCGGCAGGCCUAACACAUGCAAGUCGAACGAGUGGCGGACGGGUGAGUAAUGUCUGGGAAACUGCCUGCUGGAGGGGGAUAACUACUGGAAACGGUAGCUAAUACCGCAUACCAUCAGAUGUGCCCCGAUGGGAUUAGCUCGUAGGUGAGGUAACGGCUCACCUAGGCGACGCUCCCUAGCUGGUCUGAGAGGAUGACCAGCCACACUGGAACUGAGACACGGGCCAGACUCCUACGGGAGGCAGCAGUGGGGAAUAUUGCACAAUGGGCGAAAGCCGGAUGCAGCCAUGCCGCGUGUAUGAAGAAGGCCUUCGGGUUGUAAAGUACUUUCAGCGGGGAGGCGUUACCCGCAGAAGAAGCACCGGCUAACUCCGUGCCAGCAGCCGCGGUAAUUC
rnacentral:rRNA from 1 species